rnacentral:rRNA from 1 species
UACGUAGGCAGCGAGCGUUGUUCGGAUUUACUGGGCGUAAAGGGUGUGUAGGCGGUUUUCUAAGUCUGGUGUGAAAUCUCCCGGCUCAACUGGGAGGGUGCGCCGAAAACUGGAAGGCUAGAGUGCGGGAUGGGUAAGUGGAAUUCCUGGUGUAGCGGUGAAAUGCGUAGAUAUCAGGAGGAACACCGAUGGCGAAGGCAGCUCGCUGGGACGGUACUGACGCUGAGGCGCGAAAGCGUGGGGAGCAAACAGG